rnacentral:rRNA from 1 species
GAUUUCUGGUUUGGUAUGCCUGACCCGUCAUGGUUACAUGAUUGUGUGUCGGUGCGUGCUUACCAUCCUUCUAGAGAAUUAUCCGUUAUUCUUUAUUGAGUAUAUGGGUAAUCGCUCUAGAUCUUUUACUUUGAAAAAAUUAGAGUGUUUAAAGCAGGCUUGCGCUAUGAAUACAUUAGCAUGGAAUAAUAAUUUAGGACUUUGGUCUUAUUUUGUUGGUUUCUAGGACUAAAGUAAUGAUUGAUAGGGACAGUUGGGGGUGCUAGUAUUCAGCGGCCAGAGGUGAAAUUCUUGGAUUCGCUGAAGACUAACUUAUGCGAAAGCAUU